UCUCAGUGCCUCAACCCACUACGCUACCGCGUGUCCUCCAGAAUAUAAUUAUCACUGAGUUUUAAAGCAUAUUUUUCUAAUAUUUCCCAACUUCGCAAGAAAUAUUAAUGCAGUAUUAUUAUUUGUGUGGUUGUAACUGAAAAUGAAAAAGUAUUUAAACAUCUACACUUGCGAUGGUCAGGAAGUACACUAUUGGCAUCUCUUUACAGUCUUCAAAUUUGCAAUUGGCGCUGCACAAAGCGGCACAAUCUUAAAUUAAAUUGCGUUUUCAAAAGAACAUUCGGUUUUCUAGAUAUGGGAUGCCAUGUAUUCCUACAGAACACUGCGACCUUUCUCCUUAGGCAUUACGUCACUUCAAACGUGAUGUAAUAAAUACAAAACGAGAAAAUGAUACCUAGACGCAAUGAAUACACGGAACGACUUCCAUCACGAGAUGGUCGUUUGAGAGACCACACCCAGGAUUCCAGCUGCUUCAAUUUAAAUCAAAUUAAGAAAAUAUAAUUAUUUAGAGGAGAUUCUGAUGCCCGCCCAUACGAACACAACCCCCUUAAAUGCCUCAACUGAGAGAGAUUGAGCCCCACCUACUAAAACCGACAAUAGAAGCAUCUUAUUCACACCUUUCUUCACCUGGUUUGCCAAGCCAUCUUACAAAGGAUACCACACACAAAUUUAGAAAAGGAAAAACACACAUACUUGCUUUUCAAGGUCAAGGGCAAUCUGAGAAUUGAUUUAUUUUUUGUUGUUAUAUCGACACCACCUUCGUUCUACUUAACCCACUAUAGUAUAAAUAUGGGACAGUGGUGAGUCUGGGCACAGUACAAGCAAUCCUGCAGAAUACUCAGAGGCUUGAAGCUCAACCAAACAAAUCUUCAAUCAACAUGAACAAGCUGCUCGUGUUCUUCUUCGUCGCCGCUAUCGCGCUGGUCGCCACGGUGUCUGCCGGUCCCAUGCCAGCACCUUUCCCUCUGCCCGCUAAGGACCUCAAGGGCUCAGAGGCUGUGUAUUACUCGGCAUAUUCUGCCUACCCUUACGCCGCUGUCCCAUACGGCUAUGCGUAUUACGGAUAAAUCAACCGAAACAAAAGACAGACACUGGCAUUGGACAACGGACCACCCCAACGGACUACGCGAAAUGGAUAUGACACGUCUGCGCUUAACUCUCUUCUUCUAAUUACAUGUAAAUGAUACUUCCCUUAUUGUAUUAUGUGCCAUUUCAUCUUACAUCCCGCCAAAAAAAAAUCUUAUUGAAGCCAUACACGAUUCCAAAGUGGUGAAAGUAAAGAUGGUUGAAGUUGCGUCUACAUUUCCCAAAUUCAACACUGCAACAUGGAAAUAUAUUGAAAGAUAAUUUUCUGUGGUCAGUGAGAAGUUACAAAACUAAAUAAAAUAUAGAUAUAUCUA